rnacentral:lncRNA from 1 species
AUAGUCGUUAGCGCAAGUGGCAAAGGAUUUGGUUGUUGAUACUCGAGGUCUCAAGUUCGAAUCUUAGUUGAUUCACAUUUCCAGCAAAGUUUAAGACAAAAAGAAAUAAAUGAAGCGGGUAGCAUCUCAAAAAAAUUAAAUAUAAAAUUAAAAUUUUAAAAUUUUAAUUUCUAGAAUUAGAUAUUUGUAUUAGCGGCAUUAUAUUUAUGUGCCACUAAUAAACAAUUUAAAAUUAACAUUUAAUCCUUUUUAGCGGCAUAUUCCUAAUGACGCUAAUUGAUUUAUAUUCACAUUUCCAGCAAAGUUUAAGACAAAAAGAAAUAAAUGAAGUGGGUAGCAUCUCAAAAAAAUUAAAUAUAAAAUUAAAAUUUUAAAAUUUUAAUUUCUAGAAUUAGAUAUUUGUAUUAGCGGCAUUAUAUUUAUGUGCCACUAAUAAACAAUUUAAAAUUAACAUUUAAUCCCUUUUAGCGGCAUAUUCCUAAUGACACUAUUUGAUUUAUAUUAGCGGCAUUUAUAAUUAAUACUGCUAAUACUUUUAGCAACAUUGGUAUAGGCAGCAUUUUGUGUCAUAUGCUGCUAAAAUUUUUAGCAGCAUUUGUUGAUCAUUUAGUAGCAUAAAUAAAUGUCACUAAUGACUAAUUUUUUAGUAGUGAAUUCAGAAUAAGAUAUUUUUUUUUCUUUUUUUUGUAACGCUCAGCAAUUAAAAUGUCAGUGUCGAUAUAUGUAUCAAAAAAUUCGAACUGAAUUGCAGCAGAAUUAUAAAGUUUUCAAGACCGGUGCCACGUGAUCGCCACCUGCAGAUUAGGGAUGCAAACGGGGCGGAUCUGGGGGCGGGAGACCCGCCCCGCCUUCCGCCCCAACUAGCAAAAAUUUGCCCCGCCUCCCGCCCCGAAUCCGUGACGGGUUAAAAAAUACAUCUCAUAAUCCGCCCCGCCUCGUAACCCGCCUCCCGCCGGCGCCCCAAAUCCGCCCCGCCAACUAAUAUUUUUUAUAAAAUUAUAAUAUUAUUAAUAUUUUGAAAAAUAUAAAAUAAUAAUUUUUAAUAAUAUUAUAUAUAUAAUUUAAUAAUAUUAAUGGUAAAAAUUAAAAAUAUGAAUCACAAUUCAAAAUAAAAUUCAAAUGUUUCAAAUACAUUAGAAAUGAGAGUAAUAACUUAUUUGUAUUUUGAACUUUUUUUGUAAAUAUAUUAUUUUUAAAAAAUAUUUUUUAAAAAUACAAAUGAUAUUCGGGGCGGAUUCGGGACGGAUCACAGCGGGGCGGAUUCGGGGCGGGUUAAAAAUUUUUCCGUUUCCUGUCCCGAAUCCGUCUCGGAUCGUAAAACUUGCCCUGUUUCCUGCCCCGAAUCCGUUUAUUUUCUCUCAUUUACUGCCCCCGUCGGGGCGAAUCGGGGCGGG